ACGAAAAGGCCGCUGUGUGGCGCUGUAUCGUCCAAUUGUCAGUGUCUUUCACACGCUUGCUCCCUGAUGACUACCCACUCAAUAUCUAAUUCCGCGGCAGUUAGACCAGUGAUGUGCAGCGCUCAGAUAGCGAUAGGAUUCAUAGAAAGACAAGGGAACAUCAAUGGAGGGAAUCUAACGAUGUGACGAGAGAAAUCAUCAAAACGUGAACAGCUGUACUAUCGGAAGUCUACCGGAUGUAGUUAUGACAAGUUAAUAAAGACACGGAAAUCGAACGAUGCGGAAUUUCUGACAGAAAACAUUUGGUAAUUCUUUACGUUCAGCUCUCUACAAUGUUUGCCAAAAACUCUGCAGGUCCUGGAACAGUUUUCAAUAACACUGAUGAUUAUAUGAUAAAUAAAACGGAUAUCUUACGAACAGGGAAUACUACAACAGACACUCCGAGGUGGAAUAUAUCCGAUAUAGGCCGAAAUGCGUUAACAACUCAUGCCAUCGAAAAAGAGGACGUUUUAAAUAUGAUUGAUUCCCGGGAGGUGUCUCGGAAUUUCCAGAGAGAAAAUAUCUCCAAUUUGUUUGAAACAGGAAACCAUUCCAUGUUGUAUGGGAACUCUUCUUGGCUGGUGAACGCUACUACGUCAUCAAAUUCUACUUCCGUUGAUGAGCAGGGCCUAUUGACUCGUGAGAUUCGCCUCAUCAAGGUUAUUGUUUUAGGGGUUAUAGUAUUUGUGCUUCUCCUCUCAGCCAGCAAAUUUGUUUUUAAGACGUUCUCGAGAUACGGAGAUAGUAAACGGUACGACAUCGAGUCCUAAAUUUUCUCUCUACACUGGAAUUUGAAUUUCAACCUUGAAAAACAUGAUUUAUCGUAUAGAGCUGGUCAAGGUGAUACAUGUAUCUCAUCGAGGGAAGAUACUGAAAUACAAUAGUGAUAUCCUUCUAUGGAAGUAUGGGCAUGCUCGUAUGGAAAUCGCCCUGGCGAUAACACAAUGACAACUGUUGUACGUAAUGGACCUUUAAGAUGUGAUAUUAAAGUCUCGUUUAUUACAAGAGAAUGUAUUUAAUUACCAAUUAAAUAAUAAUGUUCACAAAUGUUCCAAACGUUAAAAGACAUAGCCAAUAUUAUUAUCGUAAUUAACGGGUUGCUACUAAGUGCCGAUAAGGUUUCUUUGUCAAUGUCGCCACUAUUACGUCACAGUACAGUAAUAAUCCUACCUUUGGGCUACACUAUUACUCUUGUAGGGUCAAAGUUCAUUUUUAUUGUCGUCCAAAUUUCCGCGAAUGUUGUCUGGGUUUCGCCAAACAAGAUUCACCUAAUACAAUCCGGAUUCCGGACAAAUAUUACUACGUCGAUCAUGACAAGACAUUUUCGUUUUUAUACUGAAUUUGAAAUCGUUUUUAUGAUUUUAUAUUGAUAGACGGCAGCACAAUUGUUAAUUUUAAAUGUAAUCAAAGAGUGCUUCUGCCUUGUCACGUGGAUCUACGAAUAUCCAUCGAUAGAAUAAAAGAUGAAAUCUAGGAUCAAGGAGCCAUCAGGUCGAUAACUGCUAUUACAUGAGAUGUAUUUUAUAUAUAUCAUUUUUUACCACAAUAGGUGGGCGUCAUUCAACUCCCAAGGCAUGCAGUAAUCAUUACAACUGUUGAAUAACAUUCAGUUUAUACCACAAGAAUAAACUCUAAAUACAUUUUGAUUGGUUGUCACGGUAACCUUCGAUCGGGACUAUUUUUGAUCACGUGAUCCAAUACAUUUUGAUUGAGUAACACUAGAUGUCGCUUCACGAGGUCCCAGAAAUGAUAACGCCAAAGAAGUAAAUAUCACUUGUUUUUGUCAUGUUUUUGAAUAUAUAUAGAUUUCUAUGAAUUUGUUGCUUUGAAUAUAAUAAAAUUGCUUUAUAAUUUGA